GAAAUGCGAUAACUAAUGUGAAUUGCAGAAUUCAGUGAAUCAUCGAGUCUUUGAACGCACAUUGCGCCCCCUGGUAUUCCGGGGGGCAUGCCUGUCCGAGCGUCAUUUCUGCCCUCAAGCCCGGCUUGUGUGUUGGGCCCUCGUCCCCCGGCUCCCGGGGGACGGGCCCGAAAGGCAGCGGCGGCACCGCGUCCGGUCCUCGAGCGUAUGGGGCUUCGUCUUCCGCUCCGUAGGCCCGGCCGGCGCCCGCCGACGCAUUUAUUUGCAACUUGUUUUUUUCCAGGUUGACCUCGGAUCAGGUAGGGAUACCCGCUGAACUUAAGC
rnacentral:misc_RNA from 1 species